rnacentral:sRNA from 1 species
AAAUAAAUAUUUGGAGAGAUUUUCAAAUAAAUGGACAAGAUAAACAAAUGUCAAGGACAUCCUAUUGAAAGAUACUGUUGCAGCUGAUAAAAUAUACUUGGUGCUAUAAGCUUAAGAUCUUAGCAAAUUUAUUCUCCAGUGCUGAAGGUGCACAUAAAUUCUAAAAUGGUUUAUUAAAAUACUUAGCUUUUCAAUAAUUCCUUAGUCUGUAUCAUACACUGGAGCUAACAGCUUGACAUUUAUUACAUUGCCACCAAGUAUGAAAUCUCCAGUGUCCUUUGUAUUAAUAUUGUCUAAUAAAUGUAUCCCAAAUCUAAUCUAUUGAACCAUUGUCUACUCUCAAUAAUUUGUUCAUGAAUAAAGAAUGAUGUUUAAAAGUUCAUAUGAAUUCAGAACACAAAAGAAAUAUACUUUUUAAAUUUUCCCACUACUAAUUUAUAAAAACAUCCACACUGAUGGACAGUAUUUUAUUAGUGAAGAGACCAACACUGGCUGUCAUUAGCAAAUUAAUAGUGGAAUGAGUUUUCAUAUCAUUGCUGUAGAUAGGGAAAUCAUGUUUCAUUUCUUUUCCUUGAGAUACAUUAAGUUGCUUUGACAUAUUACGAUUGGGUUAAUAGAAAUUUAAAAUUUUUUGUUUGUGAUGAGUCUGUGCUAUAUUUUUGAGUCUGCUGUUUAUUUUUAAAUCUGUGAUAUAUAGUUGAUAUAUAAAUGUAAAUUUAGAGUUGGUGUAAAUGAAAUAUAUUAUUUUUUAGAGUUCUCUGUGUGUCUUAAGUAAAGUAUAUUUCACCUACAAGAGAUUAUAGUUAGUAGUGGAAUUA